rnacentral:tRNA from 1 species
GUAGAUGUAGUUUAAACAAAACGCUAAACUGUGAAUUUAGAUAUAGGAGCUUAAACCCCCCUUAUCUACC